GACGUAGGGCGCGAGCGUUGUCCGGAUUUAUUGGGCGUAAAGAGCUCGUAGGCGGCUUGUUGCGUCAGCUGUGAAAACCCGCAGCUCAACUGUGGGCUUGCAGCUGAUACGGGCAGGCUUGAGUGCGGUAGGGGAGACUGGAAUUCCUGGUGUAGCGGUGAAAUGCGCAGAUAUCAGGAGGAACACCGGCGGCGAAGGCGGGUCUCUGGGCCGUAACUGACGCUGAGGAGCGAAAGCGUGGGGAGCGAACAGG
rnacentral:rRNA from 1 species